rnacentral:lncRNA from 1 species
GGGCCAGAAGGAAGGAGAAGGAGAGGGACUUAUCGGAGGUGGUGGCGACAGCGAUGGCAGCAGCCAGUCGGACGGAUUCUGGAGGUAUCUCACCCGAAGACUCCCAAAACAGGGCGAUGAUGGGUCUAAACAAAGAAAUUAGGGUUUUAGGGAGGUAGCAGCGGCAAUGGCAUGGCAGCACGAUGACCAUCGCGGAUGGGGAAAAGGGAUGAGGG